GCGAUAUAAGAAAGAAGACAAGGUUAGCACUCCCUUGGAUAAGGAGGAAAGAGGUCUUAGUGGCCUGUACAGCAUGCAUAUGGCUAAGGCAUUGCCACGUACUUUGUGGCAUCUAACCAAGUUUUUAC